GACAGGGCAAUUUGGGCAUUACUUUGAUGACUAAAGGGUAUUUCUGGAAUUUCCCCUUAAAGACAUGACUAAGGGUAUUUCAGAAAUUUCUCUUAAAACAUGUGUCUGGCAUAUGACUGCUUCCCAGGAAAGCCCUAUAAAUAACCUUCUAUCCUAAGAAGGAGGAGACUUUUUGGCCAAACAUUACACUUGGACUCUUGGAAGCUCUGAGCACUUGGAAUUCUCUCCCAACUCGAAGACUCAAGAAGGCUCUUAGAAUCCCUGCUACCCUAACC
rnacentral:lncRNA from 1 species